rnacentral:lncRNA from 1 species
GCGGUCUUCAUCUCAUCAGAGGCUUUAUACUCCGCAAGUCGUGACUGGCAGGCCUCAGCUAUAUUUGCUUUCAGUUCGGGAGAAUCCUUGUAAGUUUGAAGAUGAGCUUCACAUGCUUGUUCAAUCUUCUCCUUUAGCUCAGCUGAUUCCUUAUACUCCAUCAAAUGCCUCUCGCACUCCAGCUGGAUCCUGUCCUCAAC